CGCAUCUGUGCAUGCAGCAUAUCAAUAAGCGGAGGAAAAGAAACUAACAAGGAUUCCCUUAGUAACGGCGAGUGAAGCGGGAAGAGCUCAAAUUUGAAGUCUUCAAGGUUUUACCUUGACGAAUUGUAGUUUAAAGAAGUGUUUUCUGUUGAAGUUUUGGUAAAAGUUCUUUGGAAUAGGACAUCAUAGAGGGUGAGAAUCCCGUAUUUGACCAUUAUUUUCAGCUGUGUGAUACACUUUCAAAGAGUCGGAUUGUUUGGGAAUGCAGUCCAAAAUGGGUGGUAAAUUUCAUCUAAAGCUAAAUAUUGGCGAGAGACCGAUAGCGAACAAGUACCGUGAGGGAAAGAUGAAAAGAACUUUGAAGAGAGAGUUAAACAGUACGUGAAAUUGUCAAAAGGGAAGCGUUUGACACCAGUGUUGUUUUCUCGAAAAUCAAUUAAAAAGAGUUAGAUUUUGUUGUGUAUUGACCUUAACAGCUUGCAUUUCAAUUUUCUUGCUUUUUUUAAUGCACUUUUCGUUUAACAAGUCAACAUCAGUUUCUUUUGUUGUAAAAAGGUCAUUGGAAGGUGGCUUUCUUUUCGGAGAAAGUGUUUAUAGCCUUUGACUCCUGCAAUCGGAGAGACUGAGGUCUGCAGCGUAGAUCCUUCGGGGUUAGAUACAUUUGUGCUAAGUUAUAGCUUUUUAUAGACAACUUGUUGACUAUGAUUAGUCUUGUAGCUUACUCGCUUAUGCUAUUUUACCUACGCUUAGGAUGUUGAUGUGAUACUGCGAGCA
rnacentral:rRNA from 1 species